GGAGGACAGAAUAUCUCCAUUGAAACGUGGCUUCUUCCUCCUUGGAGAAGACUUGAACAUUCUGGGAGAAAAGCUUGAACUUCCCCCUUUAGCUGUCUCUCCCUCCAUACACUACAAGCCUGGAGCAGCCACCUCUGGGCUCUAGGCCUUGACCUUGACUUCCUCUUGGGGCACCCCCAAAGGCCUCCUCUCACCAGAAUGGCCCAGCCCCCAAAGUUAAGAUCCUCUUAUUCCGACUUCAGGAGCCAGCUGCAUCACUUCUUGCUUGAGUCCCUCUUUACUGUGGGUCUCUCCAGGAUGAGGACCAAUGAAGCUGGGGCCAAAGGAGGGAGAAGUGAAGCCUGUAGGUGAGCAUUCAAGGAGAGGCAACCCAAAUGGGGUGGGAGCUGACCACAGGCCAGGUAAGAACAGCUGGAGGAAAUGGAGAUAUUUAACUUAGAGAAGACUUUGGGGGUCCCAAGAGCUGAACCCAAGUCGUGAUAAUUAUAACUGCCACCCAUAGGAUAAAUACCUGGUUCCAGGCUCUAUCCUCCGAGCUUUAUGUACAUGAUACUUACUUGCUUUAACCUUCACAAGAACCUUCUGAAAAUUCAAUGCUCCUCUUUAAAGAUAAAUAAAUCAAAGCAAUGAGAGCUUAAGCAACUUAUUUGAGGUCCAAUAGCUAAGUUAAUGUCAAGGCCAGCGUUCCAUCCGGGAAGGUCUAACUCCAUUCUAUCACCGUCAAGAGGGAGAAAGCAAAGAAAUUUAUUAUGUUUCACACCAGAAGAUAAAUGUAGGAACAAUGGGCCAACAUUCCAGGGAGGCAGAUUGUUGGCUCAGUCCAGAGAAGAAUUCUGUAACAGUUACAGCUGCCUGGUGACGAGUGGGCGGCCUAGUGGCUCCCUAGGGCUCCCAUCACUGAGCUCCAAGCAGAAGCCGACAACCAUCUGCCAUGGAUAUAUUAAGGAAUUCCGGCCUGGAAUGAAGGUAUUGCAUUUUACAGAAGACCUUCCACAGCAAAAAGAUUACGACUUACCGAAGGCUCAGAUGCUGGUUAGCAUUUUUUAGCAACAAAGUAUUUUUUAACUAAGAAUCGGAGAAGCCCAAGCUGGAAGACCAUCCAUAGGGUGCUUUUGGGUGUGUGUGACACUGGACAAGCCUUGGAGACCCUGCUUCUUUGAAAAUGCACUGGAAAUAUAAUGGCCCCCUCCCCACGGGAAUGGAGUGAACUCGCGAAUGAGGGAAUGCAGUAUCUCAGCACAAUGCCUGGUACCAGAAAGCACCUGUCACGCUCGCUGUUGAGACUGGGUUAUUUUAACUAUUACUGUCACCCUUCCACUCCCAGAUCUGCUCUGUAACAUCCCUGCCAGGGACCUGGUGGAUGGGACCCCUCGGUAUGUCCCUCAAAAGAGGACUCACUCACUACUGCCCACUUUGGAUAGUGCUGUCUUAAAUUUAUUGUAUAAAAAGUAAUAACAAUAGCUAGUAACUUCUAGUUCCUGUUCCCAGCUCCUCUCCUCAGGGCCUGCCAUAAAAAGAAUUCUCUUCCUUGAGGCAGCCCUCAAAUGCUGAAUGCCAGAUAGAAGCUCCCUGCUGUCUCUGCGAGUCCUCAUGUUUGUACUUUCUCCAUUGUUCCUCUUAGAAAAAUGAAUUCUUGUUCUUUCUCAAUUCUGACUCCUCCUUGAAUAGGAACUAGCUUGUCUUUAUU